UAGCGUUGCUCGGAAUCACUGGGCGUAAAGCGCACGUAGGCGGCUUUUUAAGUCAGGGGUGAAAUCCUGGAGCUCAACUCCAGAACUGCCUUUGAUACUGGGAAGCUUGAGUCCGGAAGAGGUGAGUGGAACUCCGAGUGUAGAGGUGAAAUUCGUAGAUAUUCGGAAGAACACCAGUGGCGAAGGCGGCUCACUGGUCCGGUACUGACGCUGAGGUGCGAAAGCGUGGGGAGCAAACAGG
rnacentral:rRNA from 1 species